rnacentral:rRNA from 1 species
UGCGAGUCAUAUGUUCUUCGUGAACAUGGCGUACUGCUCAGUAACACGUGGAUAACCUGCCCUUGGGACCGGGAUAACCCCGGGAAACUGGGGAUAAUACCGGAUAACGCAUAUCUGCUGGAAUGCUUUAUGCGUAAAAUGGAUUUGUCUGCCCAAGGAUGGGUCUGCGGCCUAUCAGGUAGUAGUGGGUGUAAUGUACCUACUAGCCUACGACGGGUACGGGUUGUGAGAGCAAGAGCCCGGAGAUGGAUUCUGAGACAUGAAUCCAGGCCCUACGGGGCGCAGCAGGCGCGAAAACUUUACAAUGCGGGAAACCGUGAUAAGGGGACACCGAGUGCCAGCAUCAUAUGUUGGCUGUCCAGAUGUGUAAAAUACAUCUGUUAGCAAGGGCUGGGCAAGACCGGUGCCAGCCGCCGCGGUAACACCGGCGGCCCGAGUGGUGAUCGUGAUUAUUGGGUCUAAAGGGUCCGUAGCCGGUUUGGUCAGUCCUCCGGGAAAUCUGACGGCUCAACCGUUAGGCUUUCGGUGGAUACUGCCAGACUUGGAACCGGGAGAGGUAAGAGGUACUACAGGGGUAGGAGUGAAAUCUUGUAAUCCCUGUGAGACCACCUGUGGCGAA